rnacentral:rRNA from 1 species
UACGAAGGCCCCAAGCGUUAUCCGGAAUUACUGGGCGUAAAGCGCCCGCAGGCGGUCUCGCCAGUCUCGUGUGAAACUUCGGAGCUUAACUCCGAAUUGCCCGAGAUACUACGAGACUAGAGUAUGGGAGAGGUAAGCGGAACGGUAUGAGUAGGAGUGCAAUCCGUUGAUACAUACCAGAACACCAAAAGCGAAGGCAGCUUACUGGAACAUUACUGACGCUCAUGGACGAAAGCGUGGGGAGCAAAAGGG